rnacentral:misc_RNA from 1 species
GAAGUGCGAUAACUCGGGUGAAUUGCGACCGGCGCGAAUCCUCGAAACUUUGAACGCAAAUCGUGCCCCGGCCUCGCGGCCGGGGCGCGUUCGUCCGAGCGUCGUGCACGACAGAUCCCCGCCCCAGGGCGGGAGACGGCGGACCCCGCGCCCCCCGGGCGCGCCGUUCCAGACGCCGACGGCCGAACGACGGAGGGGGCGCCCCGGGCUCCCGGACCAUCGCUACCGAGGGCCAGUCCCGGAGGAGCGAAGGCCGGGCACCCCCCGAGGCGCCCUCCCCCCGUCCGAGUCCGUCCCCCGACCCCAACUCUCGACCUCGGAUCGAGCGCGAUCACCCGCCGAAUUUAA